rnacentral:rRNA from 1 species
UUGACACUGAACAUUGAGCCUUGAUGUGUAGGAUAGGUGGGAGGCUUUGAAGUGUGGACGCCAGUCUGCAUGGAGCCGACCUUGAAAUACCACCCUUUAAUGUUUGAUGUUCUAACGUUGGCCCCUGAUCGGGGUUGCGGACAGUGUCUGGUGGGUAGUUUGACUGGGGCGGUCUCCUCCUAAAGAGUAACGGAGGAGCACGAAGGUUGGCUAAUCCUGGUCGGACAUCAGGAGGUUAGUGCAAUGGCAUAAGCCAG